GGCGAACGCUGGCGGCGUGCCUAAUACAUGCCAGUUGAGCGCUGAAGGUUGGUACUUGUACCGACUGGAUGAGCAGCGAACGGGUGAGUAACGCGUGGGGAAUCUGCCUUUGAGCGGGGGACAACAUUUGGAAACGAAUGCUAAUACCGCAUAAAAACUUUAAACACAAGUUUUAAGUUUGAAAGAUGCAAUUGCAUCACUCAAAGAUGAUCCCGCGUUGUAUUAGCUAGUUGGUGAGGUAAAGGCUCACCAAGGCGAUGAUACAUAGCCGACCUGAGAGGGUGAUCGGCCACAUUGGGACUGAGACACGGCCCAAACUCCUACGGGAGGCAGCAGUAGGGAAUCUUCGGCAAUGGACGAAAGUCUGACCGAGCAACGCCGCGUGAGUGAAGAAGGUUUUCGGAUCGUAAAACUCUGUUGGUAGAGAAGAACGUUGGUGAGAGUGGAAAGCUCAUCAAGUGACGGUAACUACCCAGAAAGGGACGGCUAACUACGUG
rnacentral:rRNA from 1 species